rnacentral:rRNA from 1 species
ACGCCGCGUGAGUGAAGAAGGUUUUCGGAUCGUAAAGCUCUGUUGUUGGUGAAGAAGGAUAGAGGUAGUAACUGGCCUUUAUUUGACGGUAAUCAACCAGAAAGUCACGGCUAACUACGUGCC